UGGGGAAUAUUGCACAAUGGGCGAAAGCCUGAUGCAGCAACGCCGCGUGAGUGAUGAAGGUCUUCGGAUUGUAAAGCUCUGUCUUUUGGGACGAUAAUGACGGUACCAAAGGAGGAAGCCACGGCUAACUGCGUGCCAGCAGCCGCGGUAAUACGUAGGUGGCGAGCGUUGUCCGGAUUUACUGGGCGUAAAGGGUGCGUAGGCGGAUGUUUAAGUGAGAUGUGAAAUACCCGGGCUUAACUUGGGUGCUGCAUUUCAAACUGGAUAUCUAGAGUGCAGGAGAGGAGAAUGGAAUUCCUAGUGUAGCGGUGAAAUGCGUAGAGAUUAGGAAGAACACCAGUGGCGAAGGCGAUUCUCUGGACUGUAACUGACGCUGAGGCACGAAAGCGUGGGUAGCAAACAGGAUUAGAUACCCUGGUAGUCCACGCCGUAAACGAUGAGUACUAGGUGUAGGAGGUAUCGACCCCUUCUGUGCCGCAGUAAACACAUUAAGUACUCCGCCUGGGAAGUACGAUCGCAAGAUUAAAAC
rnacentral:rRNA from 1 species